GUGCUCACUUGGGCAGCGCAUAUACUAAAAUUGGAACCAUACAGAGAAGAUUAGCAUGGCUCCUGCGCAAGGAUGACAUGAAAAUUCAUGAAGCGUUCCAUAUUAAA
rnacentral:snRNA from 1 species